rnacentral:rRNA from 1 species
UACGAAGGGUACAAGCGUUGUUCGGAAUUACUGGGCGUAAAGCGCGCGUAGGCGGAUAAGUACGUCGAUUGUGAAAUCCCUGGGCUUAACCUGGGAACUGCAGUCGAAACUGCUUAUCUUGAGUGCCUGAGAGGAUGGCGGAAUUCCCGGUGUAGUAGUGAAAUACGUAGAUAUCGGGAAGAACACCUGAGGCGAAGGCGGCUAGCUGGCGGUGCACUGACGCUAAGGCGCGAAAGCGUGGGGAGCAAACAGG